UACAGAGGGGGCGAGCGUUGUUCGGAAUUACUGGGCGUAAAGGGUGCGUAGGCGGCCUUCUAAGUCGAACGUGAAAUCCCCGGGCUCAACCCGGGAACUGCGUCCGAUACUGGGAGGCUUGAAUCCGGGAGAGGGAUGUGGAAUUCCAGGUGUAGCGGUGAAAUGCGUAGAUAUCUGGAGGAACACCGGUGGCGAAGGCGGCAUCCUGGACCGGUAUUGACGCUGAGGCGCGAAAGCCAGGGGAGCAAACGGG
rnacentral:rRNA from 1 species